rnacentral:rRNA from 1 species
GACAGAGGGUGCAAACGUUGCUCGGAAUUACUGGGCGUAAAGCGCAUGUAGGCGGCUCCGUAAGUCGGAUGUGAAAGCCCUCGGCUUAACCGAGGAAGUGCAUUCGAUACUGCAGAGCUAGAGUACCGGAGAGGGUCGUGGAAUUCCUGGUGUAGAGGUGAAAUUCGUAGAUAUUAGGAAGAACACCAGUGGCGAAGGCGGCUCACUGGCUCGGUACUGACGCUGAGGCGCGAAAGCGUGGGGAGCAAACAGG